GAUCAGCCACAUCGGGACUGAGACACGGCCCGAACUCCUACGGGAGGCAGCAGUGGGGAAUAUUGGACAAUGGGGGCAACCCUGAUCCAGCCAUGCCGCGUGUGUGAAGAAGGCUUUCGGGUUGUAAAGCACUUUCAGCGAGGAGGAAGGCCUUAAAGUUAAUACCUUUAAGGAUUGACGUUACUCGCAGAAGAAGCACCGGCUAACUCCGUGCCAGCAGCCGCGGUAAUACGGAGGGUGCAAGCGUUAAUCGGAAUUACUGGGCGUAAAGCGCGCGUAGGUGGUUUGGUAAGCGAGAUGUGAAAGCCCCGGGCUUAACCUGGGAACGGCAUUUCGAACUGUCAGACUAGAGUGUGGUAGAGGGUAGUGGAAUUUCCUGUAUAGCGGUGAAAUGCGU
rnacentral:rRNA from 1 species